GAUGAACGCUAGCUACAGGCUUAACACAUGCAAGUCGAGGGACUGGCGCACGGGGGUUUAACCUGUAUCCAUCCUGCCUUUUACUCAGUGAUCUCCUUUCGAAAUUAAGAUUACUCCCCAAUGUAAAGAAUCCGUAUGCGUUCCAUUAGGUUGUUGGUGAGGUAACGGCCCACCAAGCCUUCGAUGGAUAUGGGUACUGAGAGGAAGGUCCCUCAGAUUUGAACUGAGCCACGGUCCAAACUCGUACGGGAGGCGGCAGUGAGGAAUAUUGGUCAAUGAACGUCAGCCUGAAACAGCCAAGUAGAGUAAAGGAUGAAGGAUUGUGGGACGGAAACUACUUUUAUAUAAGAAUAUGUAUUAUAAGAAUAAGGAACGGCUAACUCCGUGCCAGCAGCCGCGGUAAUAG
rnacentral:rRNA from 1 species